rnacentral:snRNA from 1 species
AUACUUACCUGGCAAAGGAGAUACCAUGAUAACAAAGGUGGUUUUCCCAAGGCCAGGCUUAUCCAUUACACUCCAGAUGUGCUGACCCCUGCAGUUUCCCCAAAUGUGGGAAACUCAACUGCAUAAUUUGUGGUAAUGGGGGAGUGCAUUGGUAUUUUCCCCUG